rnacentral:rRNA from 1 species
GACGAACGCUGGCGGCGUGCUUAACACAUGCAAGUCGAACGCGAAAGUUCCUUCGGGAAUAAGUAGAGUGGCGUCCGGGUGAGUAACGCGUGGGUAAUCUACCUUCGGGUGGGGAAUAACCCAGGGAAACUUGGGCUAAUACCGCAUAAUGCAGCGGCUCGACAUCGAGACGGUUGUUAAAGUAGCAAUGCGCCUGAAGAGGAGCCUGCGUCUGAUUAGCUAGUUGGUAAGGUAAUGGCUACCAAGGCUACGAUCAGUAGCUGGUCUGAGAGGACGAUCAGCCACACUGGCACUGCGACACGGGCCAGACUCCUACGGGAGGCAGCAGUGGGGAAUUUUGCGCAAUGGGGGAAACCCUGACGCAGCAACGCCGCGUGGACGAUGAAGCUCUUUGGAGUGUAAAGUCCUUUCGGCAGGGACGAAGCGGGAGCAAUCCCGUUGACGGUACCUGAAGAAGAAGCCCCGGCUAACUUCGUGCCAGCAGCCGCGGUAAU